GGCAUUCUCUGCUAAAAGUUAACAUCAAAAUUCAUCCAACAUGAAACUCUACGUGCAGAUUAUGCUUUUGGCGUUACUCGCGCUGGUUGCUUUCGUGCGUGCUAGGGAAAUGCCCGUAACGGAAAAAGUUGAUCCUCCCCCCUUUGAACCAGACGAAUACAUUCAUCCGACAGAUUAUGGAAUAUAAUAAUAAAAAUGGUAUUACUAACGUUUGGUGCCUCUAUGAAAACUCCAAGUUAGUACAUGAAGUCAGAUUCCAAUGAUUCGAAGGUGA